AGCGAUCUAUCUGCAGUCGACGGGGUGCUUGCACCCAGUGGCGAACGGGUGAGUAACACGUAUCUUAUCUACCUUUUAGUGGGGGAUAACAGUUGGAAACGACUGCUAAUACCGCAUACGACAUCAUUAUCGCAUGAGAAGAUGUUGAAAGGCCCGUUUGGGUCGCUAGAAGAUGAGGAUGCGGCGUAUUAGCUAGUAGGUGGGGUAAAGGCCCACCUAGGCGAUGAUACGUAGCCGAACUGAGAGGUUGAUCGGCCACAUUGGGACUGAGAUACGGCCCAGACUCCUACGGGAGGCAGCAGUAGGGAAUUUUUCACAAUGGGCGAAAGCCUGAUGAAGCAAUGCCGCGUGAGUGAUGACGGUCUUCGGAUUGUAAAGCUCUGUUGUAAGGGAAGAACAGCUAGAAGAGGAAAUGCUUUUAGUUUGACGGUACCUUACCAGAAAGCCACGGCUAAA
rnacentral:rRNA from 1 species